rnacentral:tRNA from 1 species
GGGCCGCUAGCUCAGUUGGUAGAGCAGGAGACUUUUAAUCUUCGGGUCCAGGGUUCGAGCCCCUGGCGGCCCACCG